UAACAUGCGGUAUGUGGGUUCUUGGUUCUGAUUGUUUAAGCAGCAGUAGCCGAGGAAGGAGACGGUGAAGAUGAAGAAGAAGAUGCAGAAAGAGAGAGAGA